UUCGCGCCGGUGAAGCGCCGCCCAGGGGUCCCGACCGGGCGGGGAGCCCUCCCCUCGCCCCUCGCCGGGAGAGGCGGCUGAUGACUCCUAUGGGGUGGUCCCGGGGUGGAUGGGGGCGCCCAGUGCAGGAUUCGCGCCUGGGGCUGGUCAGGGAGCGCGGGUGAAGGGAGAGCUGGGCGGGAGCUGUGGGGCUCCGUCACCAUCCGGGGUCCUGGCAUCUCACAUGGUGAAGUUUGGGUUCGUGGCUAAACUCGGCGGUCGGGGAGAACCGGGACUGGCUUCGGGGGGCCGAGGGGAGCGCCCAGGAGUUCGGGGCAGUGAUAUUCCAUUGUAUUGAAACCUGAGUGGCCGACAAUGUGGUCUUGGGGCCCCCGGCGGUGUAAGAGUGGGGGAGGCGGGGAGAAGGGGAGGAUCCGAGCCCCGUAGAGCCCAACUGUGUCCCUGACAGUGGGGGACCCGGGAGGGAUGAGCUUCGGGAGAACCCCUGGGGCGUGGGGCCGGGGAGGGGGCCAGGCGGGGCGCAAACGCUGUGCCGGGGCUGGGUGACAUAUGUUUGCUGUGGUGGCCAAGAGAAAGCGGUUUCUCUUCCACGCGUUCAAAGUUACUCUUGGGUUUCCUCCCCCCUUUUAACAACAGCAGGAAGUAAGGAACCUGUCUUUGCCUUUUAUGUCUUGAGGUGACCAAGAGUUGGGGAGAUGUGGGGGGAGGGGUCAGUGAAUGCCAUAAAGGUUGAAGAACCGAAGCAUGCUUCUGCAUCUCGGUUUCUGAAGCCCGGGUUCAUUAUGUAGUGCGGAGUUCAAGAGUUCAUCUUUCCUCUAGCAUGACCAAGGGAAUCUAAAAUGUUGACUCUUACUAGAUAUUUAAGCUCGCGAAAGAUGAGCAGUAGUACCACACUGUGAAACGGUCCCAUUUGAAUGAUAACUGGAAGGCGUGGUCUGGUUUGGAGGAUUUGGGAGCGGGGUGUUUUAAAGCCACCUCUCCCGAACAAUACUGAAUCUGGUAGGUGCAGCUUUUGAUUACAAGGACCAGGGAAUCCUGGGUUGCUAAUGACUUCAUCCUCAUCUACCAACAGGAAGCUUUGUGGCUUUAUGAUCUCAUCCGAUUUCUUCAUCAUUUUCACGACAGAACAGAAUACUUCUGAGGCAAGAAACUAAAAUCUACUUGUCAUAUUUUUCUAAAUGUUAUUUAUCAAAGUAACACAGAAUGACUUCCCAAACACAUUUGGAAACAGUAAGUAGAUUCAUUUGGAACACAUAAUCUAAAAAAAGAUUGAUUUUGUUUAUUGGAAGUAAUUGAUACUUAAAUGCUAACCCCCCUCCAACUCCUUUAUAAAAAAAUCUAUUUUGGGGGUGGGGUCAGCUGAAUUGUAGCAUAGGAAAUGCAGGCUUCUCCUUCUCUCCCCAUCAACCUGCUUUGUUAACAUCUUGUGUUACGAUCAGGCCAUCUGUACAGGGCUGCACACACUUCUUAAUUGUACCUCAUUUUAGUCCUCAAACUGCAAAUGUCCUCUUUGAUUUCAGUUAUAUAAAAAAUACAGAAUCUGAAAUAUGCCCUGCAAAUUGUUAAAUAUUCUACAUUUUAGAAGCUUCUUCAUAUUUCUAUAACAUUUAUAAAAGCUUUUUCAUAAUUUAUGUAGCAGUUCAAUGUUUUUGUUCCCCUUUGUGGCAGUUUCUUCUGAAGGUGUAAAUGAGUACUAGUUAUGAUGAUGUAAUAUGGAUACUUAUCCAUAAAGAAUUAGCCUGUCUGUCACCUUGUUUCUAAUAACCUAUUCAGAAGCUGACAGAUGGUAAUGACAUUCAGUUGUUACUGACUUGGGAUCUAACAGCCUACCUUAUGUCUUCGAUCCUGAAAUGCAACAUUUUCAUUAUUUGGUGGGGAGAGAGCAUGGUAAACAAUUCUUCAUGAGUUUUGAAGCAAUACUUUUUGGGAUAAAACACCUCCAUCAGAUAUCAGGUAUGUCUCUUGUUUUAACAGUUGAAAAAUAGUGAGCCAAUGGGAAAACCCAGCAUUGUACCUUAAAUAGGAUUUUAGAAAGUUUUUUGAAUAUUUUUAAAAUAGUACUUGCUAGGUACAUGAAAAGUUCAGAUAUAAAAACUGCUAAUAUAAAUCUACGUUUACUUGUGCUCUUCUGAGAUUUAGGUACCAAAAGAACAUAUCCUUUGCCUAUUACCAUGCAGUUGGAAAUACUUUUUGUGGGGCUGUUUUGGAUACUGAAAUAACCCUUGCAGCUUUCGGAAAUAAAAUGAUCAGGAAGCAUUAAACAAACUGCAAAUUUACUGCCCUUUUUUCUACCUGAUAUUUGUAUCUCGUGCAGAACAGGAAGAGACAGGCUAUUUCAUCUGGGAGAUGGAUGUUGUGUUUGUAUUUGAAUACACACCAGAGAGUGGAAUACUUUGUUUUUAGAUAGAUUUAUGUUUGAUUGUUGCCUUUCUAACUUGAAACACAGUCUUACUUUUUGCCACUAAAGAUAGUUUUUAGAAUUUCCUAAGUCCUUUCUGUUUAUAGUAUGAAUGUGUAGUAAAUGUGAUAGGUACCCCUCCAAAAAAAAAAAAAAGAUUAGCU